AUACGGCCCAGACUCCUACGGGAGGCAGCAGUGGGAAAUAUUGCACAAUGGGCGGAAGCCUGAUGCAGCAACGGCGCGUGCGGGAUGACGGCCUUCGGGUUGUAGACCGCUUUCACCAGGCCCGAAGGCAUUCUCCUGGCGUGUUGACGGUACCUGGAGCAGCCGCA
rnacentral:rRNA from 1 species